rnacentral:rRNA from 1 species
GACGAACGCUGGCGGCGUGCUUAACACAUGCAAGUCGAACGAAGUGGCGAACGGGUGAGUAACGCGUACUCAACCUGCCCUUCAGAGGGGGACAACAGUUGGAAACGACUGCUAAUACCGCAUACUGAAGGAGGGGAUUGCGUCUGAUUAGCUAGUUGGAGGGGUAACGGCCCACUAAGGCGAUGAUCAGUAGCCGGGUUGAAGGGAUGACCGGUCACAGUGGGACUGAGAGACGGCCCAGACGCGUACGGGAGGCAGCAGUGGGGAAUCUGCCGCAAUGGGCGAAAGUCUGACGGAGCAACGCCGCGUGAGUGAUUACGGCCUUCGGGGUUUAAAGCUCUGUUAAGCGGGACGCGGUACCGGAAUAGAAAGCCACGGCUAACUCCGUGCCAGCAGCCGCGGUAAUAC